GGAUAACUGAUGGGAUUGGACAUGCUCCUUUUUUAUUCAAAAGGUUUGCGUCCUGAAAAUCCAUCGCCUCAACUCUUGAUAAAUGAUUCAGUAGAUAAAGGAUUGAUUGUGAUGUAUGGAGCUGAAUAUGCGUUUCCAUUAGUUCAUGGUGUUGAUCAUGAACUCCCUUACCGCUAUAUAAACAUCUUCAGCUGUUCUUCUGCUGAUCUAUACGUUUAGCAUACAUAUUCAUAUGUCCUAUUUAUCAUUCGCCAAUAAAAUGAUGCUUACUGUUCGAAUGCUAAAUAGCUGAGCUUAUCAUUUAAAUUAAUUGUUUGAUUUGGUUAAUUUAUUAGAAAAGAAAUGCAGAUCUGAGGGAGAGUAUAAGUAUAUGAUAGUGCAAUUGAUGUGUCCUGGUUUUUGCAAGUGUUCAGGAGUUCUUUUUUUUUCCAGGAUUCAUGUUCUUCUGUUUGUGCUUCUGAACUCUUAUGUUGAUCCAGUGUACAAAAGACUAUGGAGAGAAGGUAGCCAGAUGUAACAAGGUAGCAAGAUUAGCGCAUGGGUACAUGAUCAGAAAUGUCACCAGGUGAUAUAGCUUUAAAGGUGUGGCGGAAUAGGUUUUCUAAGCUUCAUCUCAACUUCUCAUUAGCACUUCCAUCAUUUACCAAACAGAUUUAUGGGCCUACCAAAAAUAGACAAGCUGAAACAUUUCUGCAGCUUCUUUGCCAUUUCUGCUACUCUUCGUUUACAUGUACAGUGUGGUCGGUGAUAUCUUGCAUAUUUCCAUUAUCUUAUUCAUUCGUCCAUGUGCA